rnacentral:rRNA from 1 species
GGGCGGGACACGUGGUAUCCUGUCUGAAUAUGGGGGGACCAUCCUCCAAGGCUAAAUACUCCUGACUGACCGAUAGUGAACCAGUACCGUGAGGGAAAGGCGAAAAGAACCCCGGCGAGGGGAGUGAAAAAGAACCUGAAACCGUGUACGUACAAGCAGUGGGAGCACAGAGCAAUCUGUGUGACUGCGUACCUUUUGUAUAAUGGGUCAGCGACUUAUAUUCUGUAGCAAGGUUAACCGAAUAGGGGAGCCGAAGGGAAACCGAGUCUUAACCGGGCGUUAAGUUGCAGGGUAUAGACCCGAAACCCGGUGAUCUAGCCAUGGGCAGGUUGAAGGUUGGGUAACACUAACUGGAGGACCGAACCGACUAAUGUUGAAAAAUUAGCGGAUGACUUGUGGCUGGGGGUGAAAGGCCAAUCAAACCGGGAGAUAGCUGGUUCUCCCCGAAAGCUAUUUAGGUAGCGCCUCGUGAAUUCAUCUCCGGGGGUAGAGCACUGUUUCGGCAAGGGGGUCAUCCCGACUUACCAACCCGAUGCAAACUGCGAAUACCGGAGAAUGUUAUCACGGGAGACACACGGCGGGUGCUAACGUCCGUCGUGAAGAGGGAAACAACCCAGACCGCCAGCUAAGGUCCCAAAGUCAUGGUUAAGUGGGAAACGAUGUGGGAAGGCCCAGACAGCCAGGAUGUUGGCUUAGAAGCAGCCAUCAUUUAAAGAAAGCGUAAUAGCUCACUGGUCGAGUCGGCCUGCGCGGAAGAUGUAACGGGGCUAAACCAUGCACCGAAGCUGCGGCAGCGACACUGUGUGUUGUUGGGUAGGGGAGCGU